rnacentral:rRNA from 1 species
GAUGAACGCUAGCGGCAGGCUUAAUACAUGCAAGUCGUGGGGCAGCAUGAGUAGCAAUACUUGAUGGCGACCGGCAAACGGGUGAGGAACACGUACACAACCUUCCUUCAAGCGGGGAAUAGCCCAGAGAAAUUUGGAUUAAUACCCCAUAAUAUAUUUGAUAAGGCAUCUUAUUAAAUAUUAAAGCUUCGGCACUUGAUGAUGGGUGUGCGGCUGAUUAGAUAGUUGGCGGGUAACGGCCCACCAAGUCUACGAUCAGUAGCUGAUGUGAGAGCAUGAUCAGCCACACGGGCACUGAGACACGGGCCCGACUCCGUACGGGAGGCAG